CCUACGGGAGGCAGCAGUGGGGAAUCUUAGACAAUGGGCGCAAGCCUGAUCUAGCCAUGCCGCGUGAUCGAUGAAGGCCUUAGGGUUGUAAAGAUCUUUCGUGGGGGAAGAUAAUGACGGUACCCCAAGAAGAAGCCCCGGCUAACUCCGUGCCAGCAGCCGCGGUAAUACGGAGGGGGCUAGCGUUAUUCGGAAUUACUGGGCGUAAAGCGCACGUAGGCGGAUUGGAAAGUCAGAGGUGAAAUCCCAGAGCUCAACUUUGGAACUGCCUUUGAAACUCCCAGUCUUGAGGUCGUGAGAGGUGAGUGGAAUUCCGAGUGUAGAGGUGAAAUUCGUAGAUAUUCGGAGGAACACCAGUGGCGAAGGCGGCUCACUGGCACGAUACUGACGCUGAGGUGCGAAAGCGUGGGGAGCAACAGGAUUAGAUACCCUGGUAGUCCACGCCGUAAACGAUGAAUGCCAGUCGUCGGGUAGCAUGCUAUUCGGUGACACACCUAACGGAUUAAGCAUUCCGCCUGGGAGUACGGCCGCGAAGGUUAAACUCGAAAGGAAUUGAACGG
rnacentral:rRNA from 1 species